ensembl:snoRNA SNORA70 Small nucleolar RNA SNORA70
CUGCAGCCAAUUAAGUGGGUUCCUUUCCUCAUGGCGGCCCAGUGCGCCAGGGCUGCAAACAGCAGCUUCCUUGGUGGUGUAAUACAGUCUGUUUCUUAUAUAGGUUGCUUGAAGGGACCUUUGGAGACAGGG